CGGAGCCUCCUCCCGCUCACUGGGGUGUGAGCGAGGGCGCCCAUGCGGAGGAGAGGAGGCUCCGAGUCGAUGCAUUUCGUUCCUCAAACCUCACCUCUGAGGGUUUUUUUUUAAAAUUUGUUUUUUAAAGCGUUUGGUUGUCUUUCAAAAGAAAUAACAGAUCUGGGAGAAAUUCUGCUGUGAAAGGAGACCAGCAGCAAGAGGAAUGAACUCAUGGGGUACACUCUUAGUAGGGUGGAUGCUGUGUGACCAGGUAAUGUACGACAUUCUUUUAUGGCUGACCACUGGGAAAGCAUCUCUGGAGAAGGAGCUGCUACACGCAGAGUGGUAAUUGUGAACAUCUACUUCUCCAUCAACUGGAAGAGCCACAGGCCGACCACUAAAUAGAACUAAUGAAUGUAUCCUUUCAAUAACAACUGAUACCAUGUAAUGCUUAUGCAAAAGAGGUAAGUGGUUUGAUGACAUGACUUCUGUUUUAACUGCUGGAAUACCACAAAAUCUCCGUAUGUAUAUGAUAGCACAACACCGUUUUUCAGUGUGACCCUCUGAUUUUGCUAAAAUGACCACAGCUUUGAAUGUUGCUUAGAAAAAUAAGUACCUCUUCAAAAAGGGAUGCAAAAGAAAAAAAAAAUAACCAACCCACCUUGAAACUUAACACAACAUUUCAAUGAAAAAGGAUGCUGAUCCCUGAUAAGGCAGGUUUGGGACAGUGGGUAAGGGAGAGAUAAAAAGCCAAGAAAAACCUGUAGCACUGAAUGGGUAAAACUAAGGUGGGGGAGGAUUAAGAUGGUAUAUUUCCCUCCCAGGCCAGGUUUUACUUCAUGGGAGAUUUAAAUGAGUGAUCUUCCACUGUGAUAUGUCAUCAUAAUCAAUAUUAAGGAAGCAACAAAGGUUGCUGCUGAGGAUGAGCGUCUCUCUCAUCUCCCCUCUUCCCUGAUGACAGGAUGAUGGGGAACCAGGGGGACUCGGAGACAACACCAGUCCUCAGCAGGCUCUUCCACUGGACAGCAGUAGG
rnacentral:lncRNA from 1 species